UGUUGACCUCAUAGUGAAUGGGGGAGAAUUUUCCUUUUGCCUGUCUCUAAGAGUUUUCAUAUUUUUGGAACAACCAUUCCUUGAAAGUCUUAUAAUAAUACUAGGACUGACGAUUGAUAAAUAUGAUAUUUAUGUAAAUUUUGAAAACAUGCAGACACGAUUAUGGAUAUUGUGGAAGAGGUUAUUAAAAUGAGAUUUUUUUCCUAUUGUCCCAAUUGUGACUGUGUUCCUCAAGCUGAAAAUAUCCAUCCAUUCUAAAGAGGUUGCAGGUGACUCUCCCUCACUGCGUUGGACACAGAAGAAAUGAGAGGAAGUUUAGACAGUGACAUCCAUGGACAAGUAAUGAGUCCCCCUUGACCAAACCAUACCUUUUACCUAUUGAGCAAUGACCAUAAUUUUUCUUUCUUUCUGAUCUUGUACAGCAGCUAUUCAAGGGGUAGAGACAAUUGCAGAGUUUUUGAGGGUUCGCUAGUUACAAAACCAUAUGUGGUCUCAAUUAGUUAUUACAACAUCCCUAUGAAGCAGGUACUAUUUUUAUUUCCAUCUUAUAGGUGAGGAACUUGCAAAAUGCAAGCUGAGCCCAAGGAUGUCAGGAGUUGAGAUUUGUCCUAGAACAUGACAGAAAUCUCAUCAUUUACCACUAUCAAUCAACUGCUACAAAUUUCAGCCUGGGUACAACGAUGGGAAAUACGCAUUAAAAUUUUAAGUUAAAAGGAAUGACAGAGUGUGUUGGGUUGGGAUGUCAUUUCCAUGGGGAAGUAGGAAAACUGCCAUUUGUAUUAGUCAGGGUUCUGCCAAGGAAUAAACCAUUAGG